CUGCCUGCUCAGCCUCAGUUCUCUGAGAGACGGAACAGCUAGCUGGCUGCUCAUCCUUCGUGACCAUCUAACAGGCCACGGAAGCAGUAGUUCUAACUUCACACCAAUGCCAAAACUAAAUAAACUCAUCCCCCAUGUUUCCUCUGUGAUGGUUCUGCCCUGGCUCAACCUUUCUUUCUGGCCGCUCCCCAACUCUACGCCCGCUCCUCUACCACAUUCCACCAGCUUGCUGUCAUGACUUGGCUCUGAAUGCUCCCCAGAGGUCACAUGCUAAAGACUUGCUGUGACCGACUGGCAUGUGAUGCUGCUAGAGGUGGUGGGAGCUUUGUCUCUCUGUCUUUCUGUUUCUGUCUCUCUCUCUCUCCCACUCCCUGACUGCCAUGAGGUGAGCAGUCUCCUCUACCACAGGCUCUGUCCUGUCAUGGGCUGCCUCACCACAGACCCAUGGGACCAACUCACCAUGAACUGAAACCCCAGGACUUCAGAGGCAGUGCACCCGCUUUGCUCUGGGAGGAGACUGUGAUCCGAGUGGAAGAACCACAAAAACCGUGUUCCCUGCUGCAGAGACAAUGGAAGAUGGGAUACAGGCUGGCCCAGAAACCUUCCAAGAUAUUCCUCCCACUCCCAUCUGGGGAAAUGUUUCCAUUCCUGCAGUCCAAGGGAUGGAAAGUCACAAGCUAGAAUAGGUUGUUGCUGUUCUCCUUGUAAUAGAGAACACCACCCGUGCUCGGACACGUGCUUUAACCCUCAGUCAGUCUGCCUGCGGCCAUUCACGUUACAAUCCCGAAUACACACGCGCACACGUGCAUGCACAUACACACAAGCGUAUAUCUGCUUGUGUAAUACACCCUUAUUGUUUAUUAUACAACCUGACAUUUUUCACCCAAUUUCAUUUUAUUACAUUUGAAAUGCACUGAAGUAAUUUUGUGCUACAUUAAAAGAUUGUAGCUUGUGGGCUGGAGAGAUGGCUCAGCGGUUAAGAGCACUGACUGUUCUUGUGGAGGACCCGAGUUCAAAUCUCAGCACCCACAUGGUGGCUAACAUCCAUCCAUAACUCCAGUUCCAGGGCAUCCUACACCAUCUUCUGGCUCUGCAGGCACUGCAAGACACAGGUGCACUUACACACAUGCAGGCAAUACACUCAUACACAUAAAAUAAAGGAUUGUGGCUUGUGUAACAACAGCCAUUCAACAGGCCCUUGUUUUGGUUUAUACUGGUCCAAACUGAGGUUGUUGCUGAUAACUAAAUGUGCCUCUCAUGUGCACUUUACCUCUGUUCCAGCCCCUGUCCACACUCACCCCACAUGUGGCCAGGCCACUGGAAGGAGGGUAGAGUGCACCCUGCAGAGUCACUUGCUUAUCCAUGUAGGAGAGAGAUGUGGGCUCUGCAGUGUAUCACUGAAGAGAGGCAGGGCUGCACAGACCCUGGUUCUGGCCCCAGUCCUAGUUGAGUCUGGCACUGGGACCCCAGGUAAGCUCUUUAAGUCCUCCAGUGUCCUGUUGAUGUUUGUAAACUGAGGUUAUGCUCCUCACUUCCUACAAGAUAAAGAAAGCAGUUCGGAAUAGCCCCGGCACAGCACAGGCCAUUCUGCACAUGCUGGUUCCUGUCCCUCCACAUCCAGGAUGACAACAUUAUUUUAUAAUGAUGUGGGACAAAGUUCAAGAAUAUCCCCUCAAAAGCCUCUCAUGGGUGGGUGAGAACAUUCAGUGGGCAAAGGCACUUGCUGCCAAGACUGACGACCUGAGUUCAAUCCCUGGAACUCACAUGGUGGAAGGAAACUAACAAGUUGUCCUCUGAUCUCCACAUAUGUGCUAUGGCAUGCACACUGUGACAUACACACACAAAUAAAUAAAUAAAUAAAUAAAUAAAUAAAUAAAUGUUAAGAAAGAGAGCAUCUCAAAUCUCCCAUGAGAGUUAAGUCCAAAGUACACACACACACACACAUACACACACACACACACACACACACACACACAUUAUAUAUUGUGCACACACAAACCCAUGCAAGCAAGCUCAGGCAUGGAGGACCUGAUGUACGUGUCAGCCUCAGCUGUGAUGAAGACCAUCUGAUCAGAUCUUUACAGGAACCCAGGGAAGCAGGCUCCCAGGAUCCUGGAAGUGCUGUUAGGCGAAGCCCCAGGGGCAGGGAUGGAACUUUCACUACAUUUGGCACAUUGCAACCUUGGGCAGCAUUAGUGCCAACCUUCCCUAGAAGCUGCAGCCAGGAAGAAAGACUUGAUUCCUGGAAUCGGAGAAUUGCAGGCUCAGAAUGUUUUGGGUCCACUCCUAUGAUGGCCUCAUCCAUGCGGGGCAUGUUGACACCCAUGCAUACAGAAGUUUGGAUUUAACCGUGAUACUUAACACAAUGAGGGAUCCUGUAGUGGUGGUGGUGGUGGUCAUAAUUAAUAAAAUAGCAUUU